GAUGAAGAACGUAGCGAAAUGCGAUAAGUAAUGUGGAUGAACGCACAUUGCGCCCGCCAGCAUUCUGGCGGGCAUGCCUGUUCGAGCGUCAUUUCAACCCUCGAGCCCCCCCCCCGGGGCCUCGGUGUUGGGGAACGGCACACCGGCCGCCCCCGAAAUGCAGUGGCGACCCCGCCACAGCCUCCCCUGCGUGGUAGCACACACCUCGCACCGGAGCGCGGAGGCGGUCACGCCGUAAAACGCCCUACUUUCUUAGAGUUGACCUCGGAUCAGGUAGGAAUACCCGCUGAACUUAAGCAUAUCAAUAAGCGGAGGA
rnacentral:misc_RNA from 1 species